AUAACUUUAAAGUUAUUUACCCCUUCCAUUUCAUUGGGGCCAGUAUUAGUAUUGGAAGUCACCUGUGUGGGAAUACCUGCGAGGAGGCACACAAAGAACAGACACAGACACAAAUAGUGCCAGCAGACAGGAGGAGCAGAGAGGAGUGAGGUGAAGUGGUGAAGAAGAAGUGCAGAAGUGGGGGGUCUGCCCCUCCCUGCCAGGAGUUUAUUCACUCCAAGAACACCUACCUCCUGUUACCAUGAUGAUAUUCUAAUUAGUAUUUCUUUAGCCUGAAUUCUAAAUACUAAGUAAUUAGUAUUUCUUUAACCUUAGCUAACUGAGAUAAGGUCCAGGUUAAGAGAAACACAGAGCCCCUUCUCUCCAAGGACAUUGCUAAGGAAACCAUCCAGUGCCUGCAUAGUUGUCUUAUUACCUCAGAGGGAGAAGGCUGGGCAUUUCCAUCGUGGGAAUCAGGGGAAACCUGUGAAGGACAUGCUAUGGCAGCCACCCAUCCUGUGCCUUUGCACAGGAGUUUCCCAGUCACCAGGUAUUACCUAGCAGCCAGGCAUCCUGUGUCUUUGCAUAGAAACUUCCUAGUCACUAAUAAUGUCACAAUCAUGAAGUUUGUAGACCCCAAUCCCAAACACAGAAUUCCCACACAGGCUUAUAUUUUUUUCUGUCCUAUAGAUGAUGGCUUUUUUUUUUAAAUUCACUUAGGUUGUUCUGUCUUAAAGAAAGAAUACUUCUUUAAAACACUAAUAGGCAAAAGUUAUAAAGUUCUAUGAGAAUACAUAAUGAAAAUAACAAGACUGAAAACUUUUAGUUUGUAUAACAGCUGUGAACCAAGAA
rnacentral:lncRNA from 1 species